AUGGGUUCAGUCCAGAAUACUUUGGUUAUCUGGUCAGCCAAGCCUUCCUCUCCCCUCUCUCCAGCCUUUGCUCAGAAAGCUUCUAACUGUAUUGGGCACACUGACAUUUUUCUUAGUCUCUUAGCUCCCCUGUUUGCACACUUAAAACUAUUAACACAUUCUUUAGAAUCAACUGGCUGUAAUUUUUCUUUAAUUUUUUUUUUAAAUUUUUACAGUCACACAGAGAUAGUCACACAGAGAGAAAGAGAGGCAGAGACACAGGCAGAGGGAGAAGCAGGCUCCAUGCACCGGGAGCCCGACGUGGGAUUCGAUCCCGGGUCUCCAGGAUCGCGCCCUGGGCCAAAGGCAGGCGCUAAACCGCUGCACCACCCAGGGAUCCCUCAACUGGCUAUAAUUAACUGGCGUAAAUCAGGCACUAAAUAGCAUUUAUUGGAUGGAUGGAUGGAUGAAUGGAUGGAUGGGUGGAUGGAUAGCACAGCACAUGACAGUGAGGUAUGAGACCUAAGAAAAAGGGACAUCAGUCAAAAUUAGAGUUAGUUAUUGCAGGUUCAUUGCCCUAUUCCAUGCAUUUAGGUGAUGCCUCCCCACUGCUUCCACAAUUGCAGGCGAUACACCACUCCUGCCUCCAAAGAGAUUGGAGGACAAAAUGAAUGCUCCCAGAGGAAAGCCCUUCACCUAUUAACCUUGGGAAGUUCUCCAAUGUAAAUGCCAGCUCAUCUGAUCAAUCCUAUUGUAGGGAACUGCACCCCACUAAUGAGUCUUACCCACGGUGAAAACCUUCAAUUAGCUUUAACCAUUAAAAAAAAAAAAAACGGCUUUAUUGAGUAUAAAUGAUUUGCAAUAAACUGCAAAUGAACAUUUUCAUGAUACCUGUUAAACCAUCACCAAGAUAAACAUUUUCGCCACUCCCCAGAGUUUCCAUAUAAUCCAUUCCUCCUUCAACUUCUAAACUCAGGUAAGGACGGAUCUGCUUUCUGUCAUUAGGGGUCAAUUUGCGUUUUCUCAAAUUUUAAAUAAAUGGAGUCAUACAGUAUGUAUUCUUUUUUCAUCUGGCUUCUUUUACUCGGUAUAAGGAUAUUGAGAUUCAUCUGGGUUUCAUGUAUUAAUAGUUCAUUUCUUUUUUAUUGCUGAUAGUAUUCCAUGAUAUGGAGGUAUCACACUAUGUCUAUUCAUAUACCUUUUGAUGCAGUAUUUUACUAUUACAAAUAAAGCUGCUAUGAACAUUUGUUUACAGGUAUACAAUUCUUUAUAAUUAUAUUGGGAAGGUGGGAGGAGAGAAAGAGUAGAGGGUGGUGUUAUAAGAAAACUAAAUCCUUAACCAACAUAAAAGGACAUUAACGAGUACUUUUUAAAAUUGUUAAAUCAAGAAAUAGCUGUAUAAGCAUAUUGCUCUAUUUAAACAUAAGGAGGGACUCCUGGUUGGCUCAGUGGUUGAGCGUCUGCCUUUGGCUCAGGGCGUGAUCCUGGAAUUCUGGGAUUGAGUCCCACAUUGGGCUCCCUGCAUGGAGCCUGCUUCUCCCUCUCCCUAUGUCUCUGCCUCUCUCUGCGCGUCUCUCAUGAAUAAAUAAAUAAAAUCUUAAAAAGAUUAAAAAUAAAAUAAACAUAAGGAGAUGGGCGCCUGGGUGGCUCAGUUGGUUAAGCAGCCAGCUCUUGGUUUCUGCUCCGGUCAUAAUCUCAGGGUCCUGGGAUCCAGGCCUGAGUCAGGUUCCACUCUCAGUGUGGAGUCGGCUUGGGUUUUUCUCACUCUCUCCCUUUGCCCCUCUCCCUGCUUGUGCUCACACACUCUCUCUAAAAUAAAUAAAAAUCUUUUUAAAAAAACAAGGAGAUAGGGAUGGCUCAGCGGUUGAGUGUCUGCCUUUGGCUCAGGGCAUGAUCCUGAGGUCCUGGGAUUGAG
rnacentral:lncRNA from 1 species